GCUCAGGGCGACUGUGACCCUGAAGCACCAGUGACCGAGGGCACCUGCUGCUGCCACCAGGAGAUGUACACUGACCUGCAGGGGAUGAAGUGGGCCAAGAACUGGAUGGUGGAGCCCCUGGGCUUCCUGGCUUACAAGUGUGUGGGCACCUGCCAGCAGCCCCUGGAGGCCCUGGCCUUCAAUUGGCCAUUUCUGGGGCCGCGACACUGCAUCGCCUCAGAGACUGCCUCGCUGCCCAUGAUCAUCAGCAUCAAGGAGGGAGGCAGGACCAGGCCCCAGGUGGUCAGCCUGCCUAACAUGA
rnacentral:lncRNA from 1 species